rnacentral:pre_miRNA from 1 species
UGUUAAAAAUUCAAUCAAUUUCCACAGUUAAGUAAUAAUGUGGCAAGUGGAGCAAAUAGACAACGACAUUUGGCAUGUCACAUCAUCACUUAAUGGUAGAAAUAGAUGAAAUUUUUAACA